rnacentral:lncRNA from 1 species
UGUGGGGAUGCGCCGUGGGGUACUCUCGUCAUCAAAGCAAAGAAGUCCCUCUGCUUUCCUCAUGCCAGGAGCUCCCCAGAAGAUACAUAGCAGAUUCCCCUCUAGACAUCCUUUCCCUGCAGACACUCAGCAUCUCCCAGAUACUUCUCAAGACAUCCCUUCCUGCAGAUACUCACCAUCUCCCAGAUGCUUCGGAAGACAUCCCUUCCUGCAGAUACUCACCAUCUCCCAGAUGCUUCGGAAGACAUCCCUUCCUGCAGAUACUCACCAUUCCCCAGAUGCUUCGGAAGACAUCCCUUCCUGCAGAUACUCACCAUCUCCCAGAUGCUUCAGAAGACAUCCCUUCCUGCAGAUACUCACCAUUCCCCAGAUGCUUCGGAAGACAUCCCUUACUGCAGAUACUCACCAUCUCCCAGAUGCUUCGGAAGACAUCCCUUACUGCAGAUACUCACCAUCUCCCAGAUGCUUCGGAAGACAUCCCUUCCUGCAGAUACUCACCAUCUCCCAGAUGCUUCGGAAGCUUCUUUUCUUUGAGAUAGGCAGACUCUUCCAUGCAUGUUGCUUGAAACAGAUACACUUCCCUUUGCAGUAUUGCUUCCUCAUCCAAAAACUCAUCCUCCUCCAGGUAGUCCUCCUCAGACUCCUCAUCCUCAAAGUCUAGAAACUCUAAGUCAUCCUCAGACCCUAUAGACUCAUCCUCGGCAUCAAACAGACGUUCCUUCUGUGAACUCUCAUUUUUCUGUGGGGAAAAUGUCCGUCUGGAGUCCUUGAAAGCCUUGGGAAGGUCAAGACUCGAGGGUCUUGGUGAUAAAUUAUCAUCAGACAUGAUAGAGAAGCCUGUGCGGAUGAGUCCUUUCAGUAGCACGUAAUGCUAAUUUAUCAUCCUGGCAGACGAGAAAGGAAUAAAACACCAUUAGUAAGUACAAGCCCGCCAAAUAUGAUGGAGUUUGGUACUGUUCACUCUUCCUUUAAUAGCCUCUUG